rnacentral:rRNA from 1 species
GCUCCUCGCGCCAUCAGACUCCUACGGGAGGCAGCAGUGGGGAAUUUUGGCGUCAAUGGGGAAACCUGACGCAGCAACGCCGCGUGGACGGAGUGAAAUCCUUGGGAUGUAAACUCCUUUCGAUCGGGACGAUUAUGACGGUACCGGAAGAAGAAGCCCGGCUAACUUCGUGCCAGCAGCCGCGGUAAUUC